GCCCAGAAGACGAACAUAAAAUUAUUCUUCAUAAAUUGUUCUCCCUUUAUCUCUUUAAUCCAAAACAAAAACAAAGCAAAAAAGAAAAAAUCGGUUCUUUCGCGCGAAACAAAUGUUGUGCUGGCGAAAUAUAGCCGUUCUCUCCCCAUUUUCUCUCAGGACUUUUAUCGAACACCUUCCUUACUACAAACCCAACACCUUAAAUCUCACUGCAAAAACGCGCAAAUCUUUCGCUACUUCAUCAUCCCUUAAAUCUUCUCACUUCGAAACCCUAAAUCUUCAACAGAAAGAUCAGAUUUCUCUAUACGUUGAUGCUCUUCUUCAAUGGAAUCAGAAGAUGAAUUUAACUGCUGUUACGGAGAAGAGCGAAGUGAUGGAACGUCACAUUGAAGAUUCGCUUGCAAUUCUCUCGCCUAUGAAUGAAUCUUACUCUUCAAAUUGUGGUUCUUUGUGUGAAAAUAUCAAUGUUGUUGAUGUAGGAAGUGGUGCUGGUCUUCCGGGAUUGAUUUUAGCCAUUGCUUGUCCAGGUUGGAAUGUCACGCUCCUAGAGUCUCUGAACAAACGUUGCUUAUUCUUGGAGCAUGCAAUCAAUGUAACUGGUGUGUCCAAUGUGCAAAUUGUCCGUGAUAGGGCUGAGAAUUUUGGACAAACAUCGGAGUAUAGAGAGUCAUUUGAUAUAGCUGUGGCCAGGGCUGUUGCAGAACUGAGGGUGUUAGCUGAGUAUUGUAUUCCUUUGGUUCGCGUGGGUGGUCUCUUUGUAGCUGCUAAAGGUCAUGAUCCUCAGGUAAUCCGGAGGAAAUUCUAAAUGCUAAAAGAGCAGUAAAUCUGUUGGGUGCUUCUCUUUUGCAUCAGCAUUUAGUGGAAUCACACGGCCCCUAUGGACAGCGGACUGCUAUCGUAUGUCUUAAAGAUCGUGCUACUCCUCGAAAGUAUCCCCGCACUCCAGGUACACCAGCGAAAAUGCCAUUAUGAGUGAUCCAGAUGAAUGACUGCUAUUGUUUCUAGCUACUAUAAUCAGCUGGCAUGCAUCUAUUGAAAUUCUCGGAGAUUUGGUGUUGCACAUAUUGCAUGAUGUAUAUCAAAUAGAAAUAUAGUAUUUGUUGUGCAAAGUUUUCAGGCAAGCAUCCAUGUAUUUACUAUCUACGACUCAGAUACUAGAAAGUCCAUAAUGUUGCAAAUCAUAUGCAACCUAGCGACUUGCCUCUUUUCACCUUUUUUUUUAAAAAUGAUUAUUGAAUUUUUUUAGGCGAGCUAGAUAUUGGAAAUCUGGAGGAGCUAUUAUCUUCUUCAA